rnacentral:rRNA from 1 species
CAUGCAAGUCGAACGGAAAGGCCCCUUCGGGGGUACUCGAGUGGCGAACGGGUGAGUAACACGUGGGUGAUCUGCCCUGCACUUUGGGAUAAGCCUGGGAAACUGGGUCUAAUACCGAAUACACCUCAUGGGAUGCAUGUUUUGUGGGGGAAAGCUUUUGCGGUGUGGGAUGGGCCCGCGGCCUAUCAGCUUGUUGGUGAGGUUACGGCUCACCAAGGCGACGACGGGUAGCCGGCCUGAGAGGGUGUCCGGCCACACUGGGACUGAGAUACGGCCCAGACUCCUACGGGAGGCAGCAGUGGGGAAUAUUGCACAAUGGGCGCAAGCCUGAUGCAGCGACGCCGCGUGAGGGAUGACGGCCUUCGGGUUGUAAACCUCUUUCGCCAGGGACGAAGCGCAAGUGACGGUACCUGGAGAAGAAGCACCGGCCAACUACGUGCCAGCAGCCGCGGUAAUACGUAGGGUGCGAGCGUUGUCCGGAAUUACUGGGCGUAAAGAGCUCGUAGGUGGUUUGUCGCGUUGUUCGUGAAAACUCACA